UACGAAGGGGGCUAGCGUUGCUCGGAAUUACUGGGCGUAAAGCGUGCGUAGACGGUAGCGUAAGUCAGAUGUGAAAGCCCCGGGCUCAACCUGGGAACUGCAUUUGAGACUGCUCUGCUCGGGUGCGGAAGAGGGAAGCGGAAUUCCUGGUGUAGCGGUGAAAUGCGCAGAUAUCAGGAAGGACACCUAUGGCGAAGGCAGCUCUCUGGGACGGUACUGACGCUGAGACGCGAAAGCGUGGGGAGCGAACAGG
rnacentral:rRNA from 1 species